rnacentral:rRNA from 1 species
GGGAUUGCCCCAGUAACGGCGAGUGAAGCGGCAACAGCUCAAAUUUGAAAUCUGGUCCCCAGGGCCCGAGUUGUAAUUUGUAGAGGAUGCUUUUGGCGAGGCGCCUUCCGAGUUCCCUGGAACGGGACGCCACAGAGGGUGAGAGCCCCGUCUGGUCGGAUGCCAAGCCUAUGUAAAGCUCCUUCGACGAGUCGAGUAGUUUGGGAAUGCUGCUCAAAAUGGGAGGUAUAUGUCUUCUAAAGCUAAAUACCGGCCAGAGACCGAUAGCGCACAAGUAGAGUGAUCGAAAGAUGAAAAGCACUUUGAAAAGAGGGUUAAAAAGUACGUGAAAUUGUUGAAAGGGAAGCGCCUAUGACCAGACUUGGGCCCGGUGAAUCAUCCAGCGUUCUCGCUGGUGCACUUUGCCGGGCACAGGCCAGCAUCAGUUUGGCGCGGGGGACAAAGGCUUCGGGAAUGUGGCUCCCCUCGGGGAGUGUUAUAGCCCGUUGCGCAAUACCCUGCGCCGGACUGAGGUACGCGCUCCGCAAGGAUGCUGGCGUAAUGGUCAUCAGCGACCCGUCUUGAAACACGGACCAAGGAGUCGUCUUCGUAUGCGAGUGUUCGGGUGUAAAACCCCUACGCGUAAUGAAAGUGAACGCAGGUGAGAGCUUCGGCGCAUCACCGACCGAUCCUGAUGUUCUCGGAUGGAUUUGAGUAAGAGCAUACGGGGCCGGACCCGAAAGAAGGUGAACUAUGCCUGUAUAGGGUGAAGCCAGAGGAAACUCUGGUGGAGGCUCGCAGCGGUUCUGACGUGCAAAUCGAUCGUCAAAUAUGGGCAUGGGGGCGAAAGACUAAUCGAACCUUCUAGUAGCUGGUUUCCGC